rnacentral:misc_RNA from 1 species
AGAAAACAAUAAACUAGAAAACUAAAUUUAGUAAAUAUAACACAAGUUAAUAAUUUAGUUGCGUGUGAAAAAUUCAGUGCUUGAGAAAACUAAAAAAAUCAGAUGUAGAAUUUUCUGACAAGUGGUGUUCGGAAAAAUUGAAAAACCCAUACAUGCGUCCUUAGUCCAUGCCGGGCACUUACAGAAAACGCAUAUAUAUGUCCUUAGUCCACACCGAUAGCUUUCGCCAGACACCUAUAUGCGCCCACAGCACUCAAAGGGUUAACAGACGUACCAGAAAGUAUGCUACCUAUGAGUUAGCCCUACAUUUACAACAUGACAUGACAAGCACAGCAACAUUGACUUCGUAAUUCACACACACGACACCUGGGCGCUAGAGUUUGGCGCAUCAUUUUCACACUUUGAUAUACGUAUCAUUUUGGCGAAACCGACUGACAAAAGCCAGUAGCCGUUGCGUAAAACACGCAACGUGAUAAAUAUUGUAUAUUAUGCAAUUUGUUGCGAUCAACGAAUUAUAUAUUGAAAUAAUAAAUGAAUUGAAGUAAUAUUUUAACAUAAUCUUAUAUUAAAAACUACAGCAGACCUACGAGAAGAUAUAAGAUUU